rnacentral:rRNA from 1 species
UACGAAGGGUGCGAGCGUUGUUCGGAUUUACUGGGCGUAAAGGGCGCGCAGGCGGUCUUGAAAGUCAGGCGUGAAAGCCCCGGGCUUAACCUGGGAAUUGCGCUUGAUACUCUGAGACUGGAGUACGGGAGAGGAGAGUGGAAUUCCAGGUGUAGCGGUGAAAUGCGUAGAUAUCUGGAGGAACACCGGUGGCGAAGGCGGCUCUCUGGACCGUAACUGACGCUGAGGCGCGAAAGCGUGGGGAGCAAACAGG